GGUGUGUAGCGGCAUACUCUUGCUGUCCACGCCAUCCGGCUUUAUUUCCUGACAUCUUCCGACAUCCGUCACCUUCUUGCACUUUCCCGCGCCAUCCCCUCUCUCCUCACAGUCACCCCGCGCUGCCGGUUCGGGCUCCAGGUCAUGCUGGACUCUGGGAGGCUCUUGCAGACCAAUGAAGACUCUCCCUUGGAUGGCUUUGCUGGCUCUGCACCAGCCAGCGCCCCCUUCUCUCCUGCAGGACCUGAUCUGCACCUCCAGACACACUCCCACUCUCCUAGUGGUGAGGAUGUCCCCUGGAAGAUCUCCAGCUGAGUCAGCAUUUCCACAGCACUUGUCUGUCAGCUCCUGUGCCUCCCAGGACCUGCUGCGAGCUGGGAGUGAUCAACUGUCAUUCAUGACUUCUCGGCUAUGGCAGACGGGUCCCCCUUGUGCCGAGAGGCUUCAGGAGAGGUGGCAUUGUGCAGGAGAACACCAGGCCCCAGGGCCCAAGUGCAGGAUUGUCAGCUGGUUGCUGUCCUGGUACCCAGGGGCCCCGUGAGUGAUGUCUUCAAGGAGAGGCUGGACCAUGAUGCUUGGAAGAUGGGUGUGCCCUGUGCAUGGGUGGAGGCUCCAUGAGUGGUGCCAUCUUCAUAUCAGCAGGAAGCCAGACCACAGUACCCAAGGUCUCAGCCUUAAAUCUGGAGAUUGUCAAAGGAAGUAGACUGUGGAGUCGGUGACCCUGGGGAUGACUUGGGAUUUGGGUUUGCCUGAUAUUUCUCAUCAUGAUUCUUUUCAGUGGUGUGUGUGGACAGCAGAGAAUGGAGAGUGAAUUUGCCACAGGAAGCAGCACCAUUGCUCCUUCUGCCUGCUCAGAGCAUCAUGGAACAACUGUCCACUCUGGGCAAGACAGGAGAGGGAAAGCGCAGAGACCGUGGGCUUGGGGUCCAGACAUUGGAGGCUUUUCAGCUGGCUCUGGGUCUUGACAACAGUGCCACAGAGGGCCAUGGACAAGGAACACCGGCCCCAGUGUCCUGCUGCCCAUACCUGGAGUGACUUUUAAUAAGCAGGAGUUUUUCUCUUGAAUUUGUGCCCCGUUAAUCACUGUCCUCUCCUGCUACCCAUCCAAUAAACCUUCUCAAUAACCCUUACAAAUUGCUCCACCUGCUUUUUAAAUCAGUAAAAACCCACAUGUCAGCAAGGCUGGGCAUGGAGAAAGUGGGU